rnacentral:rRNA from 1 species
GACGAACGCUGGCGGCGUGCUUAACACAUGCAAGUCGAACGGAAAGGCCCUGCUUUUGUGGGGUGCUCGAGUGGCGAACGGGUGAGUAACACGUGAGUAACCUGCCCUUGACUUUGGGAUAACUUCAGGAAACUGGGGCUAAUACCGGAUAGGAGCUCCUGCUGCAUUGUGGGGGUUGGAAAGUUUCGGCGGUUGGGGAUGGACGCGCGGCUUAUCAGCUUGUUGGUGGGGUAGUGGCUUACCAAGGCUUUGACGGGUAGCCGGCCUGAGAGGGUGACCGGCCACCUUGGGACUGAGAUACGGCCCAGACUCCUACGGGAGGCAGCAGUGGGGAAUAUUGCACAAUGGGCGGAAGCCUGAUGCAGCAACGCCGCGUGCGGGAUGAGGGCCUUCGGGUUGUAAACCGCUUUCGCCUGUGACGAAGCGUGAGUGACGGUAAUGAGUAAAGAAGCACCGGCUAACUACGUG